UACGUAGGCAGCGAGCGUUUGUUCGGAGUUACUGGGCGUAAAGGGUGCGUAGGCGGUUGUUUAAGUUUGGUGUGAAAUCUCCCGGCUCAACUGGGAGGGUGCGCCGAAUACUGAAUGACUAGAGUGCGGGAGAGGAGAGUGGAAUUCCUGGUGCAGCGGUGAAAUGCGUAGAUAUCAGGAGGAACACCGGUGGUGUAGACGGCUCUCUGGACCGUAACUGACGCUGAGACACGAAAGCGUGGGUAGCAAACGG
rnacentral:rRNA from 1 species